CAGCGCGCGGGAACACGUAGGGUGCGAGCGUUAAUCGGAAUUACUGGGCGUAAAGCGUGCGCAGGCGGUUGUGUAAGACAGGUGUGAAAUCCCCGGGCUUAACCUGGGAACUGCGCUUGUGACUGCACAGCUAGAGUAUGGCAGAGGGGGGUGGAAUUCCACGUGUAACAGUGAAAUGCGUAGAGAUGUGGAGGAACACCGAUGGCGAAGGCAGCCCCCUGGGCCAAUACUGACGCUCAUGCACGAAAGCGUGGGGAGCAAACAGGAUUAGAUACCCCUGUAGUCCCUGUCUCUUAUACAC
rnacentral:rRNA from 1 species